UGCCCAGCAACUCCUAUCCCUACCUCCUCGUGGUACUGGCCGGGGUACGAGUAACCUUGGGGAAGAUCGGGUAACCAACCCCCGGUGGGAACUUUGGUCGUAUGCUGACAGGGUAGG
rnacentral:ribozyme from 1 species